GAAGGUUCUGAUUCAGAUGGUUCUGUGGGUAGCGCUCCAGGUGAAAGCCCUACUUAUGAAGGUUCUUAUUCAGAUGGUUCUGUGGGUAGCGCUCCAGGUGAAAGACAAGAAACUACUAAGGGGAAGGGCGACUACAUGGGCAUGCAUUAGCGGCAGAAGAUUUCGUGAAUUAUUGAAUAAAACCGGAAGCUUUAUGAACUCCUUUAAGUUUUUUUUUUCUGUAAUGUAUGUUUUUAGACUUGGCAUACAUGUUUGUUUUUAAACACAUUCCGCAAACAAAGUUUCCUGUGCUAUGCACGCCUUAAA